rnacentral:ncRNA from 1 species
GAUCAAGCUACAAAGGGCGCAUGGUGGAUGCCUUGGCACCAGGAGCCGAUGAAGGACGUGGUAAGCUGCGAAAAGCUGCGGGUAGCCGCAAACAGGCUGUGAUCCGCAGAUGUCCGAAUGGGGGAACCCGCAUGGCUAACGCCAUGCAUCCUUAGCUGAAUCCAUAGGCUAAGGAGGGCACACCCGGGGAACUGAAACAUCUAAGUACCCGGAGGAAAAGAAAGAAUAAUCGAUUCCCUAAGUAGCGGCGAGCGAAAGGGGAGGAGCCCAAACCAGAGGAAACUCUGGGGUUGCGGACAGGUCAAGAAAGCGAAGGAGUUCUUAGCCGAAUAGGUCUGGAAAGGCCAGCCACAGAAGGUAAAAGCCCUGUAGGCGAAAAGGACUUUGAGCGAGACCUGAUCCAGAGUACC